rnacentral:ncRNA from 12 species
AUAUGAUGACAAUAAAUGCUGUACUGUUAUCAGUGUUUAUUCGAGUAUUCAAAGGUAUGCUUAACCAUAAAGCAGUGUAGCGAAAAAUGGCGAAAGAAAAGCACUUGC